AAAAACCAGCAACAGGUUCUGAUGAUCCAUCUGCUGGUCUCAGUGGAAAAACACCCAAAACUCAUCUGUCAUCUGAAGCUUCUGGUUUUAGGAUUGUGAUGUUGGGGAAAAAUGAGGAAAAAAAGACCAAACUUGGUAACUUGAUUAUUGGAGUGGAAGAAUUUCACCAACAAAUGUUUUCCCAAACCAAACAAAUUUUUUCCCAAACCAAACAAAAGGUUCCCCAAAGCAAACACAGUGUGGCCUCCAGUGGAGAGUGGAAAGGAAAACCAGUAACAGUGAUAAAAACUCCUGACAUGUUCAGUCUGACUGAGGAGAAAAUCCAGAGAGAAGUGAAGAAAUGUGUGAGUCUCUGUUAUCCUGGACCAAAUGUUCUGCUGCUGCUGGUGAUGAAACCUUCAGACUUUAAAGAAAAAAACAGAGAAACUCUGAAGUUCAUCCUGAGUUUGUUUGAUCAAGAUGCCUUCAGACACUCAAUGGUCAUUUUAACAAACAACAGUGAAAAAAGUUCCUCUGUCAGUGACCUGAUCAGGAUGGUUCAGGAAAGAUGCUACAACAUGAAU